rnacentral:misc_RNA from 1 species
UCUCCGUAGGUGAACCUGCGGAGGGAUCAUUACCGAGUGAAGGGGGCUCCGGCCCCCGACCUCCCAACCCUUUGUUCCAACCAACUCUGUUGCCUCGGGGGGCGACCCGGACGUCCGUCGGGCGUCGGGCACCCCCGGAGGACCCAACCACAACCCUGCAUCCAUGCGUCGGAGUAUUGAAAGCAAAUCAAUCAAAACUUUCAACAACGGAUCUCUUGGUUCUGGCAUCGAUGAAGAACGCAGC